UAGAGUUUGAUCCUGGCUCAGGACGAACGCUGGCGGCGCGCUUAACACAUGCAAGUCGAACGUGAACUCCGGAGCUUGCUCCGGGGGGAAAGUGGCGAACGGGUGAGUAACACGUGAGGAACCUGCCCCGAAGACCGGGAUAACUCCGGGAAACCGGUGCUAAUACCGGAUGCCCUCAUCGGACCGCAUGAUCCGGUGAGGAAAUGGAUUCCGCUUCGGGAUGGUCUCGCGGCCUAUCAGCUUGUUGGUGGGGUAACGGCCCACCAAGGCAGCGACGGGUAGCUGGUCUGAGAGGAUGUCCAGCCACACUGGGACUGAGACACGGCCCAGACUCCUACGGGAGGCAGCAGUGGGGAAUCUUGCGCAAUGGGCGAAAGCCUGACGCAGCGACGCCGCGUGCGGGAUGAAGGCCUUCGGGNUGNANACCGCU
rnacentral:rRNA from 1 species